rnacentral:rRNA from 1 species
AUUGAACGCUGGCGGCAGGCCUAACACAUGCAAGUCGAACGAGUGGCGGACGGGUGAGUAAUGUCUGGGAAACUGCCCGAUGGAGGGGGAUAACUACUGGAAACGGUAGCUAAUACCGCAUACCAUCGGAUGUGCCCCGAUGGGAUUAGCUUGUAGGUGAGGUAACGGCUCACCUAGGCGACGCUCCAUAGCUGGUCUGAGAGGAUGACGAGCCACGCUGGAACUGAGCGACGGUCAGCACUCCUAUGUGGGGCAGCAGUGGGGAAUAGUGCACAAUGGGAGCAAGCCUGAUGCAGCAGUGCCGGGUGUAUGAAGAAGGCCUUCGGGGUGUAAAGUCCUUUCAGCGCGGAGGCGUUACCCGCAGAAGAAGCACCGGCUAACUCCGUGCCAGCAGCCGCGGUAAUUC